GGGUUGUGAGGUUAAGCGACUAAGCGUACACGGUGGAUGCCUUGGCAGUCAGAGGCGAUGAAGGACGUGCUAAUCUGCGAUAAGCGUCGGUAAGGUGAUAUGAACCGUUAUAACCGGCGAUUUCCGAAUGGGGAAACCCAGUGUGUUUCGACACACUAUCAUUAACUGAAUCCAUAGGUUAAUGAGGCGAACCGGGGGAACUGAAACAUCUAAGUACCCCGAGGAAAAGAAAUCAACCGAGAUUCCCCCAGUAGCGGCGAGCGAACGGGGAGCAGCCCAGAGCCUGAAUCAGUGUGUGUGUUAGUGGAAGCGUCUGGAAAGGCGCGCGAUACAGGGUGACAGCCCCGUACACAAAAAUGCACAUGCUGUGAGCUCGAUGAGUAGGGCGGGACACGUGGUAUCCUGUCUGAAUAUGGGGGGACCAUCCUCCAAGGCUAAAUACUCCUGACUGACCGAUAGUGAACCAGUACCGUGAGGGAAAGGCGAAAAGAACCCCGGCGAGGGGAGUGAAAAAGAACCUGAAACCGUGUACGUACAAGCAGUGGGAGCACGCUUAGGCGUGUGACUGCGUACCUUUUGUAUAAUGGGUCAGCGACUUAUAUUCUGUAGCAAGGUUAACCGAAUAGGGGAGCCGAAGGGAAACCGAGUCUUAACUGGGCGUUAAGUUGCAGGGUAUAGACCCGAAACCCGGUGAUCUAGCCAUGGGCAGGUUGAAGGUUGGGUAACACUAACUGGAGGACCGAACCGACUAAUGUUGAAAAAUUAGCGGAUGACUUGUGGCUGGGGGUGAAAGGCCAAUCAAACCGGGAGAUAGCUGGUUCUCCCCGAAAGCUAUUUAGGUAGCGCCUCGUGAAUUCAUCUCCGGGGGUAGAGCACUGUUUCGGCAAGGGGGUCAUCCCGACUUACCAACCCGAUGCAAACUG
rnacentral:rRNA from 1 species